UACGGGGGGUGCGAGCGUUGUCCGGAAUCACUGGGCGUAAAGGGCGCGUAGGUGGUUUGAUAAGGGUGUGGUGAAAGCCCGGGGCUCAACUCCGGAUCCGGUUCCCAAACUGCUAGACUCGAGAGUAUCAGAGGAGAGCGGAAUUCCCGGUGUAGCGGUAAUAUGCGUAGAUAUCGGGAGGAACACCCGUGGCGAAGGCGGCUCUCUGGAACGCAACUGACGCUGAGACGCGAAAGCGUGGGGAGCAAACAGG
rnacentral:rRNA from 1 species